UACAGAGGUCUCAACCGUUGUUCGGAUUCAUUGGGCGUAAAGCGUCUGUAGGUGGCUUUUCAAGUCCGCCGUCAAAUCCCAGGGCUCAACCCUGGACAGGCGGUGGAAACUGCCAAGCUGGAGUACGGUAGGGGCAGAGGGAAUUUCCGGUGGAGCGGUGAAAUGCGUAGAGAUCGGAAAGAACACCAACGGCGAAAGCACUCUGCUGGGCCGACACUGACACUGAGAGACGAAAGCUAGGGGAGCGAAUGGG
rnacentral:rRNA from 1 species